CUGGUGUCAGCCGCCGCGGUAAUACCAGCACCCCGAGUUGUCGGGACGAUUAUUGGGCCUAAAGCAUCCGUAGCCUGUUCUGCAAGUCCUCCGUUAAAUCCACCUGCUCAACGGAUGGGCUGCGGAGGAUACCGCAGAGCUAGGAGGCGGGAGAGGCAAACGGUACUCAGUGGGUAGGGGUAAAAUCCAUUGAUCUACUGAAGACCACCAGUGGCGAAGGCGGUUUGCCAGAACGCGCUCGACGGUGAGGGAUGAAAGCUGGGGGAGCAAACCGGAUUAGAUACCCGGGUAGUCCCAGCUGUAAACGAUGCAGACUCGGUGAUGGGUUGGCUUCGAGCCAACCCAGUGCCGCAGGGAAGCCGUUAAGUCUGCCGCCUGGGGAGUACGGUCGCAAGACUGAAACUUAAAG
rnacentral:rRNA from 2 species